UGGACUACGAGGGUAUCUAAUCCUGUUUGCUCCCCACGCUUUCGAGCCUCAGUGUCAGUAACAGACCAGAAUGUCGCCUUCGCCACUGGUGUUCUUCCAUAUAUCUACGCAUUCCACCGCUACACAUGGAGUUCCACAUUCCUCUUCUGUACUCAAGUUUCCCAGUUUCCAAUGACCCUCCACGGUUAAGCCGUGGGCUUUCACAUCAGACUUAAGAAACCACCUGCGCUCCCUUUACGCCCAAUAAAUCCGGACAACGCUUGCCACCUACGUAUUACCGCGGCUGCUGACAC
rnacentral:misc_RNA from 1 species